CUCAAUUCCUCAGGAUGUGAGGAAAUGAAGCAAAGGAAAAAUACCUCUCCCCUCCCACCUUGAGCAUAGCUCCCUGUCAGCACCGCAGCCUGGGAACCAAGGUGGAGAGAAGAUGUGAUCACACUGCUCUUGGCUAUUGGGACUGUCACCAGACAGGGUCUGAAGGGGUCUCUGAAGUGGAGCUGGGGAACCUCAUCUUACUCCACCCACAGGGAUGGGGAUUGACGGGGGAGUACUAUGUACAGUUGAAAAGCAUAGGCUCAGAGCAGGACAUAACAAACAGGUGAAAAAAGCCAGCCCCCACGGACCAGCCUCCUAUAGCAGAAGCUAUGAGGAAAACCACACAGCAGAGAAAAAUACUCAUGUAAAGAUCUGUGCACCAUGCUUAAGCUAUAUGAAGAAAAGGUCCAAAUAAAUCUAAUACCUAAACAACACACUGGAGCAGAGGGCUGCAGAUGAACUUGGACAGAUACUUUCUCAGCAGAUAUACACCAUCACAGGAACAGAGUACCUCUGAGCAUGACUCCCUUCAGUCAGCAUGGAAGAUUAAUGAAACCAGCUUUUAACUCUAAAAUUAUAAAAUGAUAUAAUGCAGAAUAAACAUAAUUAUUUGUUUGUUUGUUUUGUUUUGGUACCGGGGAUUGAACUCGGGACUUUGCAUUUGUGAGGCAGGCAGUAGAACCACUGAGCUAAAUCCCCGGCCCUAAGCAUAAUUGUUGUCAGAGCAGACACAGACCUUCUGGCAUUAUAUGGAAAGAUAUCUGAUGUAUUGCAUAAACCCGGAUCCCUCUAGCAUUUCCUCAGACUUCCCUUCUUCAUCCAGCUGCACUUGUGCUUUUCGUCCUUAAACAUGUAUCUGCUUUGAACCUGAUGGAUCAGGUGAUUCCAAACUACACUUUCCCCUGGGCUACUCACCAUUUCUAGUUCAUCUCCUGGGCAAAUAUCCCAACCCUUGGAAGUUAGGCACACAGUCUGUGCAUGUACUAAGCAUGUGGCUUUCUGCAUAUGUCUGCACAUCAUUUUUCAGGAAACUCUAUUUCACACUGCACCAGCUUGCUGAGUAGCUGUUGUUCACACCCACUGAGAAAUAACUCCAUGUGAGAAUAAUACCUUUACAACUUUGAAAUGUCCUCAGACAGACUUCUCAUCUCCAGGCCAUCAACCUGCUGUGAACUCUCAUCCUGACUUUUCACACUUACAGGCAACAGUCAUGCAACAUACUGUCAAACAAUAUGAAGGUUUGGGGAGAUGUGGAGGAGUGAAAAAUUUUAAAUUGGAGCCUGAACAUCUUUUGAGAUGGGUGUAAUUUUUAAUAAUUAAAAAAUCUAUCACACAUACAA
rnacentral:lncRNA from 1 species